GACGAACGCUGGCGACGUGCUUAACACAUGCAAGUCGAACGGUGACCUCGAGAGCUUGCUCUUGAGUGAUCAGUGGCGAACGGGUGAGUAACACGUGAGUAACCUGCCCCAGACUCUGGAAUAACCCCGGGAAACCGGAGCUAAUACCGGAUACGAAAUAGAGCUGCAUGGCUACUACUUGGAAAGUUUUUCGGUCUGGGAUGGACUCGCGGCCUAUCAGCUUGUUGGUGAGGUAACGGCUCACCAAGGCGACGACGGGUAGCCGGCCUGAGAGGGCGACCGGCCACACUGGGACUGAGACACGGCCCAGACUCCUACGGGAGGCAGCAGUGGGGAAUAUUGCACAAUGGGCGAAAGCCUGAUGCAGCGACGCCGCGUGAGGGAUGACGGCCUUCGGGUUGUAAACCUCUUUCAGCAGGGAAGAAGCGAAAGUGACGGUACCUGCAGAAGAAGCACCGGCUAACUACGUGCCAGCCGCCGCAGUAAAAC
rnacentral:rRNA from 1 species